UGGGAUAUGUGGUUUAUUAUCCAGAGACGGUGUACAUGUGCGCCAUGAAGUUCGCUUUGAAUAAUUGUUGCGGGUGGAUUAUUAUUAUUAUUUUUUUCUUUUUGGAAUAUACAUUCACCUUUCCUUAUUUUAGCAACAACAUCGACAACAUUCUUCAAAACUUUUUAAUUCGUGUUCUACUGAAAAGAACGGCGUAAGCAGCAGCAUGAUGGUUUAAGAUGUGCCCAUCAGAAGAGAGGGAACCAUACUAUGAUCUAACAAACGUGGUCCUGAUGCUGCUGAGCCCACAGGUGUGAGAAGCCAUGACUUCUGGAGGAAUCGAUGGCUUUGUGUGGCUGAUGUCCUCAGAGACUCUGGUCUAUUUCACUGACUGCCCCACCGCCAAAGAAAAACACUGCCGCCAUCUAUAAACCAUCCCAGCGAACGGUGUAGCCUGAGCGAGCAGGUAUUGUUUUCAUCCCCGACUAAGUACAGAUCCUCUUACCCUGCCUGCUAUCAGCUGCAUACAGGAGGACAAUGUGAGCUCAUAGAGGCCUGCUCACUGACCUGGGACCAGCUUCACCACUCUUUCUCAAUGGGUUUUAAUUCAGCGGCUGAUCGGCGUCUGAUCGUUGCUCCACAGGUGAAUAGCUCACCUCCUCCUCCACCUCCUUCCUCCCUCCCUCCUUUCCUCUGCCUCUCUUGGAUGGUCACUGGAGUCAGUUAGCGGAUGGAGUUGAGUUAUGCCUGAACUUUGUGCUCCUGAGCUAUAAGCUUUUGUGACAGAAAAAGACAAACGUUCUGGAUUAUUCUGUAUCAUAUUUAAGGUAAAGUGUGAUAGCAUGAAAUGUUGUUUCAUUCAAGAUGAUGACUGUUAUCAGAUAUGUUUUUAAAUCUGUUUUUAUUGCACUCGAGUGCUUUUGUCAUGUGGUUUUUGGAGCAUCUAGAUUGGGUCUGUUUUCCAAUGAAGAUCAAAUGUGGUGGUGAUUGUUGUGUAUGAUUUCUGCCUUUAUCUGGACAAUGAAGUGCUGCAAUUUUAGAAGAGACUGUAAUAUGCAGUUUUAUAAUGCUUAUAAUCUUCCUUUUAAAAACUAAAGGUUCUUCAGUGGGUUUUUUUAAUGUCCACCAGACUUAGAUCAAUAUUUAUAUUGUUUAGAAAAGUAAUGGUGCAACAAGCUAAGCAAUUUGAUAUACUGUAUUGUUCAUAUCUUAAGCACAAACAUUGCAGGAGACAAGUUGUGUGCCAAAGUUUAAUACUUGAUGCUAGGGAUCAAGUAUGAGCAAUAGUAAUAGUGAUGGUUGUCUUAGAUAAAUGCAGUAUAUGUUUAGCAGUGUGUGUGUGUGUGUGUGUAGACCCAGAGCUCGUGCCCUGCGGCUGUGCCUCAGAUUCUCCAUCUGUUUCAAUUAAAGUGAGUGCAGGACUCACUGCACUGCCGGGUUUAAAUGUCACAGUGAGAGAGCUCUCACCCUGCCCACAAAUAACACCACUACACAACACACUCUUACAGAGCUCCUCAAUAAAUAGAUUGAGAAGGUGAAAUAUUGCACCGAUUCUUGAGACAUGAGGCCAAACAAAGCCAUACCUGCUGUCAAAUGUUUCAAAAAUUGCCACAAUUCCACUUGAUAUUAAUCAGAGAUGAUCACAAGAAGCCAUAUUUCAGUUUUCUUAACACUUUGCGAAAAGCUUUCAUUCAUUAACAUUAGUU